rnacentral:lncRNA from 1 species
GAAUUCCGUCAACAAGCCUGACGGUAAUUCAACACAAAUGAAAGAUCUAGCUAGAUGAGGGUCCCACAGAUGGCCCUAUCUCAUCUUCCAUCCUCGCGAACUCUGCGGCGAACCUGAGCUCUAUGUUCUCCUGCUGUAGUCUUCCAACUUCCUUCUGAUGAAUCUUCAUCUGUCUGAAGUAGUGGUCUCUCUCUGCCAUGUAAUGAUCUCUCU